ensembl:lncRNA
CCUCUCCCCAACUGAAACGCCCAGGAAACCCAGUGGAACCGGGGAGGGAGCGAGAGAGAGAGAGAGAUAGAGCGAGAGCUUAUCCUGCCCACCUUCCCCUCACCUCCACUCUCUAGAUCUGGCCUCACUCACUGGUGAGUGCGGCCACUGACCGCAAGGGGAUGGCAUCCGAUGUUGUUUAUUUUUUUCUGGGUCCGAUGGCGCCCCCUGGUGACAGCUGUCAGGAAUAGCAGCUGUGGCUCGUUACCCGGCCAGGUCUUUUCAGGACAGACUGUUUUUUUUCUGUGAGCGCUGGCAAAGCCAGGAAGAGGAGGAGGGGGGGAUGAUGGGGAGUAGGGGGUAACUAAGAGGAUUUUAUGAGUAACAAAAUAAAGAUGAAGAACUUAUGUAAAAACAAAAAAAAUUAAAAUGGAGAAAAAGGAAAUGACACAAGAGACAAUUUCUGAAUUUUUUGUUUGAUUUCUGUAAAGAUACACCUUGUCUUUUGAGAAAAUCAUUGUAUGUAAAUAAGCUUUUUGCAGUGUUUUUUCGUAACUUGAUUUCUUAUUUUAAUGUUGCUUUUUAAAAUUGAUCCACUUUAAAAUGGGGAAGAGGAGAAGGAGGAGGAGCAUCGCAGUCUUUUUGGUAUCACAGACGGUCUCCCUCUUGAAACAUCUUCCACCCCCUCUUCUCACACACACACACACACACACACACAUACAGACACACAUUAACACAUACACACACACAACGCGUUUCCUCUUGUGAUGCAUCGAGGGAGAGGUGGACCUGAGGGAUAUACUUGAUCGUGCGUGUGGAGCACAGAGACGCGCUGGCCCCCUGCCCACCAAAAACCGCCAGAUUCUCAACAUCUUGUACAUUAGUGAAACAUACAGAUACACACCGGACACACUUACAUUUCACUGAAACAUCUGGGACAAUUCAUUGAAAGAACCGACCUGUAAAGUCAACUUGUGUUACCCACUUUGCAGUCAGGGAAACUAUCUUUGGUGCGAGUUAGAAACACUGGUGUCAAGAGUAUGAAAAGUGAAAGUCAAUGAUAAGCUUAAUAUUGCCGACAGUGAUAUUCUUGAAGACAACUUCUUGGGCCCUGCAUUGAUCUGAAUUAUGAACGUGAGCUGACGUCUAUGUUUUGGGUUUUUUUAUAACAUGAAGCAGUAAAGUCUCCCACUAUUGCACAAAUUGGAUGCUCUCUGAAACGUAGUCAACGUGAAAAUAGUGCAAGAGAAGAAAUCUAUUUUUCUUUUCUUUUUUCCUUCGUGAGAGGGUAUGCCAUCCCUGGCGGCUUGAAAAACAAGGCAGCUUUAAUAAAUUUUCUCAGAGAUAUACAUUGGUGUUUAUUGAUAUUUGUACGUUCCUUUUCUUUUAUGUAGUCCCCCCUUUUUUUUAUACUGUCAAGACAGUCAUCUGAAACUGAACUCGGUAUUAUCUUUCCGUUGGACAAAAAAAUUAAACUAACCAAACGUGAAAAAAGGUCGCUGCACCGUUGCACUUUUUUGUUUUGCAUUGGGGCUUUUUGUCAACAAAAGGCCAUACUACCUGUUGUGUAACUUAUUUAGCCUCCGCCACAGGAGCUUACUGAGGUGUGCUUUAAAUAUCCCUACGCGGCUCGCUAGAGAGACGGAUAUUUGGACUUCCGGCCUUCUCUAUAAGUAGCUGGUGCUUCAUAUCUUUCUUUUUCUCCAGUAGGAAACUUGCUUCACGGUCUCGAUUAGUGUAUGGUCCCUUCUUUUAUUAAACUUUUUUUUCCGGGAGUUGCUGUCGUUGUCAUUUUUAAUACCCUUGUCACCUUAAUCUCUUCUCUGGAUCCUGGGUUGAUAGCAUUUUAAACCCCCCCAUCCACAAGCAUGAAGCUUUCAAGUAUUAACGCUAGGUCAUAAUUUAUAAUGGCAGUUACGCUCCUUUCUGGUUAAGCCUCUUUUUUUGUCAAAUAUGUGAAAUCCUACCGUGUUAUAUUAUAGACAACCAAUCUGCUCUAAACUUGAUCCUUUUUUUGUUCUCGUCAUGAUUUUCAAUUCUAGCCCCCCCCCCUUAUAUGAUUUUCCACAUCAAUGUAUUUCCUCCCGUAUUGACGGGGUGUUAUGUGUUUACAAUGGCAAUGACGAAAAUAAAGUUUACAAACUUGAAUCUUAAAAAGACAAAAAAAUGAAAAUGAAGCCGAAACUAAAUUGAAGCGUCUUUUCAGCUCACAAUCAAACACGCAGUGGUGACUUUCUGAAAUUGAGACUUGAAAUAACCCAUGUAUCCUAUGAUGUUGAAAUGCAAUGUUCGUAUCGCACAAUGCCUCUUGGUAGUCUAUUACAAGAAUUCAG